AUCCAAAAUGAAAAAUUCAAUCAACAUAGGGUUUUAUUUUUAAUUGUGCCAAAUGAAAGGCUUAAUUAAUAAUUUUCAUUGGAUUUUAGCUAAUCCGUUUACCGGAAUUUUUCAAUCAUGUGUUAUGAAUGUAUAAACCUAAUGUGAUAUUUCUAAACAUCAUUUCAACCUACAUGUAUUUGGCAUGCCCACAUUUUCUGCCAGAUGCUGCAUUAAGUACUGGGGACUUAUUUCUGGAUGGCCAAUAAUACCUGGCCCAGCCUUUGAGGAGGAAUAAGAUACAAAAAUUCGUCUUCUAAAAAGGAAGUGCAGACUACCUGGGUCAAGGAACUUAUGGUUCUCAGCUGGUGUGAUGAUUACUUAGUUUUAUGGGAAAACACUCCAGAGGACACGCUCUUUGGUCCUAUUCUUGCCAAUCCACUCCCAUUUAAUACCAUAUGUUGAAAUUUUAUGUACUCCUCAAGGCUCUGCUCAGAUGCCUUUCUGCUGUAAAGAGUGGUCCUCAUAUCCCAGCCCUUUAUAUUACCUCCCUUUUCCAAACUUCUGUGGCAGGUCACUUUAUACCUGGCGAGGCAAGGUUAUUUGCAUACCUGACUAGUCCGCUCCCAUUUGCUUCCAUAGUGACCAGUAAAUAUUAGUUUGAUUGAGAGAAAAGUGUAUUUUACUUAUUUUUAAUUUUUAUUCCUAACUGCUAGACCACCAAAGAGAGAGAGCACAAUGUUUUUUAGAUAGAACACCUCGUUAUUAAGGGAGAACAAGUUCUAUUUUGAUCUAGAUUGGCAGGAGUAUUACAUUUUCAGACUGAAUAUUUUCAUGGAAAGCCAGUGUUCCAUCAGCCAUUUUAAGAUAACUCAGUUUUGUAUCUAUGGUUAGGCGAUUGCCUACAUACAAAGCACACUUUAAUGACGAAUUAGAGGAUUCCAAGCUUGCCUUUAUAAGUGAAUAUCUACAGAUUUUUUUUUCUUAUAAAUACUACAUGGAAACCAAGUUACUCUAUGUUUUGAAAGCAACUUCUAGUACUCUUUAGAUGUAUGGGAAAAAGUCCUCAGGUUAAUUUCCUUAAGAAAAAGCGUCAUGAAUUAAAAGACUGCUUGUUGAAACUGAAGAUCACUUUCUACUGAGUCACCAGAUAUUGAGCAAUAUGAUUUAUAUCAAUAUGCCUUGUGAAAUUGUCAAGUUAAAGAUUGUACAUAUUAGAUAAGAAAAUUUUGUGUCCCUAUAGAGUGACAAGUAUCUUGAGGGUUUUCUGGAAAUAUUGAAUUCAACAAAUAUCUCAGUAAAAUGCAAACAACUUCUUGAUGGAUUUUUUAGUCUCAAACAGCCAGCCUAAUUCCUUUAUUAAGAUUUAAGGAGAAGGAAGUAAGUGGAAUUCAAUUUCAUAUGACGCAAGCAUAUUUUAAAUAGAGUAACCAAAACAAAUAGAUUCAAAUGGAAUCUAUGCAAACCAUCCUCUUUGCUUCCUUUGUGAUGGACACUCCUUAGCUUCUGCGCCUUAAUAAGACAGAUCUUGCUGUGUUGCUCAGCUGAAGUAUGGUGUUGUGAUCAAAACUCACUGCAGCCUGGAACUCCUGGGCUCAAGACAUCCUCCUGCCUUGGCUCCCGAGUAGCUGGGACCACAGGUGCAAGCCUCUGCACUGCAGUGCUCCUCUGCAGCAACCUCAGAACAGUGGCCCACACUCCUAGAAUUUGAGAAAAUGGCAUCUUCUUCAGAGGACAGAGGUUCGUAGUCUCAGUGGUUUAUUCACCUGCUACAGCUCAGCAUGUGAUGUGGUUUUGCUGUGUCCCCACCCAAUUGUCAUCUUGAAUUGCAGCUCCCAUAAUUCCUAUGUGUUGU
rnacentral:lncRNA from 1 species